rnacentral:sRNA from 1 species
AAGAUUGAUUGGGGGGCAGUCUUUUGUCCCUGAUCUUUCUGAUUUCUUGCCUAUCCCCAGAAUCUGUGCGGAGACCCUGGGAGAAGAACAGCACAACCUUGCCAAGGAUGAAGUCGUCUUCUUCGGUGACCACUUCCGAGACCCAACCCUGCACGCCCAGCUCCAGUGAUUACUCGGACCUACAGAGGGUGAAACAGGAGCUUCUGGAAGAGGUGAAGAAGGAAUUGCAGAAAGUGAAAGAGGAAAUCAUUGAAGCCUUCGUCCAGGAGCUGAGGAAGCGGGGUUCUCCCUGACCACAGGGACCCAGAAGACCCGCUU